UGAGUUGGUAAAAACAAUACA
rnacentral:piRNA from 1 species